UAGCUUGAUCAUUAUAUAUAUUUGUUGCAUGUUAUUUCCAAACAUGUUGUACAUUCAUGUGUUUUUAAUUUUUUUUUAUAAUUGAAUAACUGUAUUUUGCAUACAUUAAGUGCUAAGAUUCAAAUCAAAGCUAAUCACUUAAGCUAGUCUGCAUUCACAAAAUAGCGUAGAAAUGUCAUUUCCACCACAUUACUCUCUGUAGUGGAAAUGACAUUUAUGCUUGGAGGUCCAAGUGAUAUGGAUUGUGAGAGUAGAUCAUGUGUAAGACUUCUUCAUAUUACACAUUAAAUUAACAUUAAUUACACACUGUAAACACUGUAAAAGUGUGUUAAAAGGAUUAAGUUGUAUUAACUCAGAAUUUUUAAAAAGUUAAUUGACUGCUAAUUUUUUGGGUUAUCUUAAUGGAUUUUCAAUUUUAAGUGCACAAUACUCAAAAACUUUAAUUCAGUUUUGUCAAUGUCAGUGCUUUGCAGCAACAGUAUAAUUCAGAUUUAUUUGUACAAAAAGUCUUCUUUCUUGUGGGAACUUUGCUUCCAGACAGCUACCAUGGACGACUUCUGGAGUUAAUUCCGUUGUGACUUGUUUUUCAAAUGUCUGAUAUAAAUUUUACUUUCUCUUUUUUUCCUUGCGGACUCCUCUCUGGUAAGUUGACGUUCUUUGUCGUUUUACCUCUGUGUUUAGCUAAUCAUUACUAUUAUUUUUGAAUAAAAAACAAUUAUUUUAUCCUUUUGAAUUUAAUGUGUUGAGCUAAGUUCAUUUUUUUUUUUUUUUUGGUAAUUACACAAGGAAUACAGUGGCUUGCUGCAAAACUUACUCUUUGUGCAUGUCUGGGCAUGCUGGUAGCUUCGAGGUUAAAUAUUAAGCGGCUGAAGCAGAAGAAGCUGGACGUUACAUGAAGUCUGCAGGCUGCCUGUGGAGUCCCUUGAACUGGACAUUGAUGACGUACCAUACAGCCUUGCUUUGAGCCGUGCCAGUUCAACUGAUGCCACAUUCCUCUGCCCAGAUACGGUUUCAGUUCUCAUUGAGGGUAAUCUUGUGAUUGAAGUGUAGAAUUUUAGAAAACAAUUUGUUGUUUUGUUUGUUGUUGUAGUAUGUUUACUCAAUAAAGACUGAGUUGUAUCUAACCUUG